GGUUAAGCGACUAAGCGUACACGGUGGAUGCCCCGGCAGUCAGAGGCGAUGAAGGGCGUGCUAAUCUGCGAUAAGCGCCGGUAAGGUGAUAUGAACCGUUAUAACCGGCGAUACCCGAAUGGGGAAACCCAGUGUGACUCGUCACACUAUCAUUAACUGAAUCCAUAGGUUAAUGAGGCGAACCGGGGAACUGAAACAUCUAAGUACCCCGAGGAAAAGAAAUCAACCGAGAUUCCCCAGUAGCGGCGAGCGAACGGGGAGGAGCCCAGAGCCUGAAUCAGCAUGUGUGUUAGUGGAAGCGUCUGGAAAGGCGCGCGAUACAGGGUGACAGCCCCGUACACAAAAGCGCAUGUGCUGUGAGCUCGAUGAGUAGGGCGGGACACGUGGUAUCCUGUCUGAAUAUGGGGGACCAUCCUCCAAGGCUAAAUACUCCUGACUGACCGAUAGUGAACCAGUACCGUGAGGGAAAGGCGAAAAGAACCCCGGCGAGGGGAGUGAAAAAGAACCUGAAACCGUGUACGUACAAGCAGUGGGAGCACAGGUUUACCUGUGUGACUGCGUACCUUUGUAUAAUGGGUCAGCGACUUAUAUUCUGUAGCAAGGUUAACCGAAUAGGGAGCCGGAGGAAACCGAGUCUUAAUUGGGCGUUAAGUUGCAGGGUAUAGACCCGAAACCCGGUGAUCUAGCCAUGGGCAGGUUGAAGGUUGGGUAACACUAACUGGAGGACCGAACCGACUAAUGUUGAAAAAUUAGCGGAUGACCUGUGGCUGGGGGUGAAAGGCCAAUCAAACCGGGAGAUAGCUGGUUCUCCCCGAAAGCUAUUUAGGUAGCGCCUCGUGAACUCAUCUCCGGGGUAGAGCACUGUUUCGGCUAGGGGCCAUCCCGGCUUACCAACCCGAUGCAAACUGCGAAUACCGGAGAAUGUUAUCACGGGAGACACACGGCGGGUGCUAACGUCCGUCGUGAAGAGGGAAACAACCCAGACCGCCAGCUAAGGUCCCAAAGUCAUGGUUAAGUGGGAAACGAUGUGGGAAGGCCCAGACAGCCGGAUGUUGGCUUAGAAGCAGCCAUCAUUUAAAGAAAGCGUAAUAGCUCACUGGUCGAGUCGGCCUGCGCGGAAGAUGUAACGGGGCUAAACCAUGCACCGAAGCUGCGGCAGCGACACUCAGGUGUUGUUGGGUAGGGGAGCGUUCUGUAAGCCUGUGAAGGUGUGUCGUGAGGCAUGCUGGAGGUAUCAGAAGUGCGAAUGCUGACAUAAGUAACGAUAAAGCGGGUGAAAAGCCCGCUCGCCGGAAGACCAAGGGUUCCUGUCCAACGUUAAUCGGGGCAGGGUGAGUCGACCCUAAGGCGAGGCCGAAAGGCGUAGUCGAUGGGAAACGGGUUAAUAUUCCCGUACUUGGUGUUACUGCGAAGGGGGACGGAGAAGGCUAUGUUGGCCGGGCGACGGUUGUCCCGGUUUAAGCGUGUAGGUGUGUGUUCGGGUAAAUCCGGUUCACUUUAACACUGAGGCGUGAUGACGAGGCACUACGGUGCUGAAGCAACAAAUGCCCUGCUUCCGGAAAAGCCUCUAAGCAUCAGGUAACAUCAAAUCGUACCCCAAACCGACACAGGUGGUCAGGUAGAGAAUACCAAGGCGCUUGAGAGAACUCGGGUGAAGGAACUAGGCAAAAUGGUGCCGUAACUUCGGGAGAAGGCACGCUGACACGUAGGUGAAGUGAUUUACUCACGGAGCUGAAGUCAGUCGAAGAUACCAGCUGGCUGCAACUGUUUAUUAAAAACACAGCACUGUGCAAACACGAAAGUGGACGUAUACGGUGUGACGCCUGCCCGGUGCCGGAAGGUUAAUUGAUGGGGUCAGCGCAAGCGAAGCUCCUGAUCGAAGCCCCGGUAAACGGCGGCCGUAACUAUAACGGUCCUAAGGUAGCGAAAUUCCUUGUCGGGUAAGUUCCGACCUGCACGAAUGGCGUAAUGAUGGCGGGCUGUCUCCACCCGAGACUCAGUGAAAUUGAACUCGCUGUGAAGAUGCAGUGUACCCGCGGCAAGACGGAAAGACCCCGUGAACCUUUACUAUAGCUUGACACUGAACAUUGAGCCUUGAUGUGUAGGAUAGGUGGGAGGCUUUGAAGUGUGGACGCCAGUCUGCAUGGAGCCGACCUUGAAAUACCACCCUUUAAUGUUUGAUGUUCUAACGUGGACCCGUUACCCGGGUUGCGGACAGUGUCUGGUGGGUAGUUUGACUGGGGCGGUCUCCUCCUAAAGAGUAACGGAGGAGCACGAAGGUUGGCUAAUCUGGUCGGACAUCAGGAGGUUAGUGCAAUGGCAUAAGCCAGCUUGACUGCGAGCGUGACGGCGCGAGCAGGUGCGAAAGCAGGUCAUAGUGAUCCGGUGGUUCUGAAUGGAAGGGCCAUCGCUCAACGGAUAAAAGGUACUCCGGGGAUAACAGGCUGAUACCGCCCAAGAGUUCAUAUCGACGGCGGUGUUUGGCACCUCGAUGUCGGCUCAUCACAUCCUGGGGCUGAAGUAGGUCCCAAGGGUAUGGCUGUUCGCCAUUUAAAGUGGUACGCGAGCUGGGUUUAGAACGUCGUGAGACAGUUCGGUCCCUAUCUGCCGUGGGCGCUGGAGAACUGAGGGGGCUGCUCCUAGUACGAGAGGACCGGAGUGGACGCAUCACUGGUGUUCGGGUUGUCAUGCCAAUGGCACUGCCCGGUAGCUAAAUGCGGAAGAGAUAAGUGCUGAAAGCAUCUAAGCACGAAACUUGCCCCGAGAUGAGUUCUCCUGAGACUUAGAGUCUCCUGAAGGAACGUUGAAGACGACGACGUUGAUAGGCCGGGUGUGUAAGCGCAGCGAUGCGUUGAGCUAACCGGUACUAAUGAACCGUGAGGCUUAACCUU
rnacentral:rRNA from 1 species